rnacentral:rRNA from 1 species
UGCNGCGUGCAGGAAGACUGCCCUAUGGGUUGUAAACUGCUUUUAUACNGGAAGAAACACUAGUACGUGUACUAGCUUGACGGUACUGUAAGAAUAAGGACCGGCUAACUCCGUGCCAGCAGCCGCGGUAAUACGGAGGGUCCGAGCGUUAUCCGGAAUCAUUGGGUUUAAAGGGUCCGCAGGCGGUCAAUUAAGUCAGAGGUGAAAUCCCAUAGCUCAACUAUGGAACUGCCUUUGAUACUGGUUGACUUGAGUCAUAUGGAAGUAGAUAGAAUGUGUAGUGUAGCGGUGAAAUGCAUAGAUAUUACACAGAAUACCGAUUGCGAAGGCAGUCUACUACGUAUGUACUGACGCUGAGGGACGAAAGCGUGGGGAGCGAACAGGAUUAGAUACCCUGGNAGUCCAC